AUCCGCCUGACUCGUCCCAAAUGGGACGAAACGCGUGUCCUGGAU
rnacentral:hammerhead_ribozyme from 1 species